GCACCUCAUAAAGCGGGUGCCGGGAUUGGCGUCCUGGAAUUAAUAUCGGCGACAACCGCGCUCAUGCGGUUUUUUA
rnacentral:sRNA from 1 species